UACGUAGGGUGCGAGCGUUGUCCGGAAUUAUUGGGCGUAAAGCGCGCGUAGGCGGUUACUUAAGUCGGAUGUGAAAGCCCUCGGCUUAACUGAGGAAGUGCACCCGAAACUGAGUAGCUAGAGUACGAAAGAGGGUCGCGGAAUUCCCGGUGUAGAGGUGAAAUUCGUAGAUAUCAGGAGGAACACCGGUGGCGAAGGCGGGUCUCUGGGCCGUAACUGACGCUGAGGAGCGAAAGCGUGGGGAGCGAACAGG
rnacentral:rRNA from 1 species